CCGCUUAGGCAGCGCACAGACCAAAACUGAAACGAUGCUGAGAACUUCAGCAUAGUUCCUGCAUAAGGAUGACGUGUUAAUUCCUGAAACAUUCCAUAUUUUU
ensembl:snRNA U6 U6 spliceosomal RNA